ensembl:snoRNA
GGUGCACAUGAUGGUUUUAUGCGAUCAAAGUAUGAAAAAGCAUGAGUCCAAUUUUAUAAACUACUGAUGCACC